rnacentral:tRNA from 1 species
GGGGUGAUAGUUAAAUAUAACAUUUGGGUUGCAUUCAAAAAGUAUUAAUAUAAAUUAAUUCACCUU